GGCAUUGUGGCGGAGUGGUCUAACGCGCAAGACUAGAACUCGGUUAUCUACAUUGUAGAUCUGAUCUUCUGUAAUCUUGUUCCUUCGGGAGCGUCUGUUCGAAUCAGGCCAAUGUCG